AAAUUGAAGAGUUUGAUCAUGGCUCAGAUUGAACGCUGGCGGCAGGCCUAACACAUGCAAGUCGAACGGUAACAGGAAACAGCUUGCUGUUUCGCUGACGAGUGGCGGACGGGUGAGUAAUGUCUGGGAAACUGCCUGAUGGAGGGGGAUAACUACUGGAAACGGUAGCUAAUACCGCAUAACGUCGCAAGACCAAAGA
rnacentral:rRNA from 2 species